rnacentral:rRNA from 1 species
GUAGGGAAUAUUGGGCAAUGGAUGCAAGUCUGACCCAGCCAUCCCGCGUGCCGGAAGAAGGCCCUCAGGGUUGUAAACGGCUUUUGACGGUGAAGAAUCGACAGGAUGCGUCCUGUUUUGACGGUAGCCGUUGAAUAAGCACCGGCUAACUCCGUGCCAGCAGCCGCGGUAAUACGGAGGGUGCGAGCGUUGUCCGGAUUUAUUGGGUUUAAAGGGUGCGUAGGCUGGAAGGUCAGUCAGCGGUGAAAAGCUAUCGCUUAACGAUAGUCUUGCCGCAGAUACUUCCUUUCGUGGAUGAGGAGGAGGCCACUGGAACGGAUGGUGUAGCGGUGAAAUGCAUAGAUAUCAUCCAGAACACCGAUUGCGAAGGCAGGUGGCUGUACCUUAAUCGACGCUGAUGCACGAAAGCAUGGGGAGCAAACAGGAUUAGAAACCCCUGUAGUCC